rnacentral:rRNA from 1 species
UACGUAGGGGGCUAGCGUUGUCCGGAAUCAUUGGGCGUAAAGAGCGCGUAGGCGGCUAGAUAAGUCCGGUGUGAAAGUCACAGGCUCAACCUGUGAAUGCCGCUGGAAACUGUCUGGCUAGAGUCCGGAAGGGGCGAGUGGAAUUCCUGGUGUAGCGGUGAAAUGCGUAGAUAUCGUAAGGAAGACCAGUGGCGAAGGCGGGUCUCUGGACAGUUCCUGACGCUGAGGCACGAAGGCCAGGGGAGCAAACGGG